AGCGAACGCUGGCGGCAGGCCUAACACAUGCCAGUCGAACGGAUCCUUCGGGAUUAGUGGCGGACGGGUGAGUAACACGUGGGAACGUGCCCUUUGGUCCGGAACAACUCAGGGAAACUUGAGCUAAUACCGGAUGUGCCCUUCGGGGGAAAGAUUUAUCGCCAUUGGAGCGGCCCGCGUCUGAUUAGCUAGUUGGUGAGGUAACGGCCCACCAAGGCGACGAUCAGUAGCUGGUCUGAGAGGAUGAUCAGCCACACUGGGACUGAGACACGGCCCAGACUCCUACGGGAGGCAGCAGUGGGGAAUCUUGCGCAAUGGGCGAAAGCCUGACGCAGCCAUGCCGCGUGAAUGAUGAAGGUCUUAGGAUUGUAAAAUUCUUUCAGCGGGGACGAUAAUGACGGUACCCGCAGAAGAAGCUCCGGCUAACUUCGUG
rnacentral:rRNA from 1 species